UCCUACGGGAGGCAGCAGUGAGGAAUAUUGGUCAAUGGGCGAGAGCCUGAACCAGCCAAGUAGCGUGAAGGAUGACUGCCCUACGGGUUGUAAACUUCUUUUGUUUGGGAAUAAAAGACGGUACGCGUACCGUUCUGCAUGUACCUUACGAAUAAGCAUCGGCUAAUUCCGUGCCAGCAGCCGCGGUAAU
rnacentral:rRNA from 1 species